rnacentral:ncRNA from 1 species
GGUUUGCCCCGUUUGUUCGGGGCAGAGCAAAAGGGAAUCCGGUGCAAAGCCGGAGCAGCCGCCACUACUGUCAUUGAUCAGAAGACGCACGAGAAACCCAUUGGGCCCCGGCCUGAGAAGGGGUGCGUCAUCGCGGGCAACCGCGUCGUCAUCAGCCAGGAGACCUGCCGUAGAU